CUUGACUAGAUGGACUUUUGUUGACAAAGUAAUGUGUCUGCUUUUCAAUAUACUGUCUAGGUUGUUCAUAACUUCUCUUCCAAGGAGUAAGCAUCUUUUAAUUUCAUGGCUGCAAUCGCUAUCUCAACAGUAGUGUGAAUAUUUCUUGGGGAUGAAAAACAGCUCUUUUUUUUCCUUAGUUUUUAUUUUUUGGCUGCUCGGUAUGGCAUGUUCGGUAUGGGAUCAUAGUUGCCUGACCAGGGAUUGAUCCUGUGCCCUGUACAGUGGAAGUAUAGAGACUCAACAACUGAAUCGCCAGGGAAGACCUACGAUUUAAUUUCUUGAAGUAUGUGUAUGUGUAUGUGUGUUUCAGUUGCUCAGUCAUGUCCGACUCUUUGCGACCCCAUGGACAGCAACAUGCCAGGCUUCCCUGUCCAUCACCAACUCCUGGAGUUUACUCAAACCCAUGUCCAUUGAGUCCGUGAUGCCAUUCAACCAUCUCAGAUGUAUAGUGAAGAUAUAAAUACUGGGUUUCCCAGGUUGAAGGAGAUGACAACCCACGCCAAUAUUUUUGUCUGGAAAAUUCUGUGGACAGUGGAGCCUGGCGGGCUACAGUCCAUGGAGUCCUAAAGAGUCGGACACAACUGAGCAACUGAGCAUACAGGCGCAUAGAUAUAAGUAGACAACUUAAACUGAUAUAACAAUAUAUCUGUGGUAUUCAAUGUUAUGGGGGAGCAAUUAAAAAUGUUCAAAAAGGAUCCUUAAGAGGGCAACAAUGAGAAAAAGGGUAGAGAAACACCGUGAAAGGUGUUAAGGCUUAAAUUCAAGAGCCAAGAGAACAAGACAGUGGAUAGGAAGGAAAUGGAGGCAGCCAUGGGUGGUUACUUGACUGAGAAGCAGAUUGUGGAGAAGAUUUCAGUCUACCAAACACACUUGGAGCAUUUACUAUUACGUGCCAUGAGCUGUGUGAAACACUUUCACAUUUGUUAGCAAAAAGCUUCUCUUUAUUUCAGUCCCAAUGGGCAUGUUCCUUGUGAGAACAAUAGCGACGUUUUCUGUUGAGACAGUGGCCCACCUCUCUCCUCUCUGCUUCAGUAGCUUUCAUGCUAAUUAAACACUUGGAGGUAACUCAUUCACAUUUUGCAACAUAAUAAAAUGAAAAACACAGCCCAGCUUGUGUUUGUAGAAGCUCCUUUCGUGGCAGCCUUUCAACCUGUUGGGCAAUUUAAAAGAUGCAAUUGUAAUCAUGACUAACUCAUUAAGAUGCUUGAGGGAAACCUGAACAUCCUUAACCUACUUUUGAAAAAGAGAGGCAAGGGAAAUACAGGAGUGGGAAUAAUCCAAGGCAAACAAUUUCAAGUCUUUGAACAAAGGGCAGACUCGGGGCCCUCCUGGGCUGGGCUUGAGGAGGCUGGGACAAGAAAACAGAACGUUUCUUAAAGAAAGCCUAGUAGUGUCUGCUUGCUCUUCUAGAGUGCGACCUUUAUUUGGUUGUUUGUUUUGACUUUUAAAGUGCCCCUCUUUGUUCUCUCAUGGCAUUCAUUAAGAAUUUACCACUGAGUCCUGGCUUUUUAUCCUAGUCAGAUCAUCUCUUUUAUGUAUUCAGCCCAUGUACUUGACUCUGAGCGUUCUUGCUUUCCUUCUUUCCUGCUUUUGUCCUCAAUGCUGAAGCUGGGAUGAUGGUGGUGGUGGAAGGCUGAAGGGUAAAGAUGAAUGAGCCACAGUGUCCACUGAGAAUCCAUAGCCAACUCUUGGCAACUUAUCGGGGGUAAAUCUUGUCUUCAACUUCUUGUUGACUUUAUCACCCACUCAAUGUGCUUAACUUUGAUGGAUGUUAUCAUCAGCUCUGUUUGUUCACAUUGCCAAGAACACCAGAUGAACAGGGAAAUAUUCAGGAACACAUACU
ensembl:lncRNA